rnacentral:rRNA from 1 species
UACGGGGGGAGCAAGCGUUGUUCGGAGUUACUGGGCGUAAAGGGCGUGUAGGCGGUUAGUUAAGUCUGGCGUGAAAGCUCUCGGCUAAACCGGGAGAGGUCGUUGGAUACUGGCUGACUAGAGGACGGUAGAGGCGUGUGGAAUUCCGGGUGUAGUGGUGAAAUGCGUAGAGAUCCGGAGGAACACCAGUGGCGAAGGCGACACGCUGGGCCGUACCUGACGCUAAAGCGCGACAGCAUGGGGAGCAAACGGG